UACAUGGGGUGCAAACGUUGCUCGGAAUUAUUGGGCGUAAAGCGCACGUAGGCGGUUUGUUAAGUCGGAUGUGAAAUCCCUCGGCUCAACUGAGGAAGUGCAUCCGAAACUGGCAAGCUUGAGUACGAAAGAGGAUCGCGGAAUUCCCGGUGUAGAGGUGAAAUGCGUAGAUAUCGGAAGGAACAUCAGUGGCGAAAGCGACUUCCUGGACCAAUACUGACGCUCAUGUGCGAAAGCGUGGGGAGCAAACAGG
rnacentral:rRNA from 1 species